ACGGGAGGCAGCAGUGGGGAAUAUUGGGCAAUGGGCGAAAGCCUGACCCAGCGACGCCGCGUGAGGGAAGACGGUCUUCGGAUUGUAAACCUUAGUCAACAGGGAAGAAAGCAAUGACGGUACCUGUGGAGGAAGCCACGGCUAACUACGUGCCAGCAGCCGCGGUAAUACGUAGGUGGCAAGCGUUAUCCGGAUUUACUGGGUGUAAAGGGUGUGUAGGCGGGGAGGCAAGUCAGAUGUGAAAACUAUGGGCUCAACUCAUAGCUUGCAUUUGAAACUGUUUUUCUUGAGGAUCGGAGAGGUAAAUGGAAUUCCCAGUGUAGCGGUGAAAUGCGUAGAUAUUGGGAGGAACACCAGUGGCGAAGGCGAUUUACUGGACGAUACCUGACGCUGAGACACGAAAGCGUGGGGAGCAAACAGGAUUAGAUACCCUGGUA
rnacentral:rRNA from 1 species